GUGAUGGACUGAUAAAACUCAGUCAUUUCUGGGGUGAGCUGAAGUGAUGAUGAUCCACUGGGAAAGGUUGGCAUGAUGGAUCUCCACUGAACAUUUUGGGGCAGAACCUCAGCUCUACACUUCUACACAAAGCAGUUUCACAGACAGCAAGCAUGUUUGGGCCGGAUUACCUUAGCCGUCACAAAAUCCUCCUGGCAGCCGCAUCUGCACUGUGGACCUGUGACACAUGUGGGCCAAGUAACUGUUGAUGGCACUAGACACUGACUAGACUCGUUUAAAAUUUGCCCCUCCC